AGCGAACGCUGGCGGCAGGCCUAACACAUGCAAGUCGAACGAAGCCUUCGGGCUUAGUGGCGGACGGGUGAGUAACACGUGGGAACGUACCUUUUGGUUCGGAAUAACGCAGAGAAAUUUGCGCUAAUACCGAAUGAGCCCUUCGGGGGAAAGAUUUAUCGCCGAAAGAUCGGCCCGCGUUGGAUUAGGUAGUUGGUGUGGUAAAGGCGCACCAAGCCUACGAUCCAUAGCUGGUCUGAGAGGAUGAUCAGCCAAACUGGGACUGAGACACGGACCAGACUCCUACGGGAGGCAGCAGUGGGGAAUCUUGCGCAAUGGGCGAAAGCCUGACGCAGCCAUGCCGCGUGAAUGAUGAAGGUCUUAGGAUUGUAAAAUUCUUUUACCAGGGAUGAUAAUGACGGUACCUGGAGAAAAAGCCCCGGCUAACUUCGUGCCAGCCGCCGCGGUAAUAC
rnacentral:rRNA from 1 species